UACGUAGGGACCAAGCGUUGUUCGGAUUUACUGGGCGUAAAGCGCACGUAGGCGGAUCGUUAAGUCGGGGGUGAAAUCCUGGAGCUCAACUCCAGAACUGCCUUCGAUACUGGCGAUCUUGAGUCCGGAAGAGGUGAGUGGAACUCCUAGUGUAGAGGUGGAAUUCGUAGAUAUUAGGAAGAACACCAGUGGCGAAGGCGGCUCACUGGCCCGGUACUGACGCUGAGGUGCGAAAGCGUGGGGAGCAAACAGG
rnacentral:rRNA from 1 species